rnacentral:snRNA from 1 species
GUCCUUGCUUCUGCAGUACAUAUACUAAAAUUGAAACAAUACAGAGAAGAUUAGCAUGCCCCCGCGCAAGGAUGACACGUAGAUUUGUGAAGUGUUCUGUAUUUUU